UGCCGCAUCGCGCACUCGACUAGCACCGUGCACAGCGUUAACGUUACUUGCGGCUCACCGCACUCGACGGCUCACUUAGCGCAUUUGCUCGCCUGACGGCGAAAAGAUGAAGGCUCCUAUUAAGGAUCGCAUCGUGUAUUCUCCAUACCCAUCCAUUGACAUCCCGGUGUGCUCAGUUUAUGCUCUGGUCAAAGAAAAGCUACUGUGGAACCCCCACAAAGCGGCACUGGUCGAUGACGUCACCAGUGUAACUCGUGCUGAGGUCCUAUCACGAAUGCAACGUUACGCUGUGGGCUUUCGUCGGAAUGGCGUCGUUCCCGGAGACCGCAUCUGCAUUCACCUUAAAAAUUCUGUGGAGAAUCUAUUAGCCAUGUACGGCUGCAUCUUGGC